rnacentral:rRNA from 1 species
GGUUAAGCGACUAAGCGUACACGGUGGAUGCCCUGGCAGUCAGAGGCGAUGAAGGGCGUGCUAAUCUGCGAUAAGCGCCGGUAAGGUGAUAUGAACCGUUAUAACCGGCGAUACCCGAAUGGGGAAACCCAGUGUGACUCGUCACACUAUCAUUAACUGAAUCCAUAGGUUAAUGAGGCGAACCGGGGGAACUGAAACAUCUAAGUACCCCGAGGAAAAGAAAUCAACCGAGAUUCCCCCAGUAGCGGCGAGCGAACGGGGAGGAGCCCAGAGCCUGAAUCAGCAUGUGUGUUAGUGGAAGCGUCUGGAAAGGCGCGCGAUACAGGGUGACAGCCCCGUACACAAAAGCGCAUGUGCUGUGAGCUCGAUGAGUAGGGCGGGACACGUGGUAUCCUGUCUGAAUAUGGGGGGACCAUCCUCCAAGGCUAAAUACUCCUGACUGACCGAUAGUGAACCAGUACCGUGAGGGAAAGGCGAAAAGAACCCCGGCGAGGGGAGUGAAAAAGAACCUGAAACCGUGUACGUACAAGCAGUGGGAGCACCCUUUGGGUGUGACUGCGUACCUUUUGUAUAAUGGGUCAGCGACUUAUAUUCUGUAGCAAGGUUAACCGAAUAGGGGAGCCGGAGGGAAACCGAGUCUUAAUUGGGCGUUAAGUUGCAGGGUAUAGACCCGAAACCCGGUGAUCUAGCCAUGGGCAGGUUGAAGGUUGGGUAACACUAACUGGAGGACCGAACCGACUAAUGUUGAAAAAUUAGCGGAUGACCUGUGGCUGGGGGUGAAAGGCCAAUCAAACCGGGAGAUAGCUGGUUCUCCCCGAAAGCUAUUUAGGUAGCGCCUCGUGAAUUCAUCUCCGGGGGUAGAGCACUGUUUCGGCUAGGGGGCCAUCCCGGCUUACCAACCCGAUGCAAACUGCGAAUACCGGAGAAUGUUAUCACGGGAGACACACGGCGGGUGCUAACGUCCGUCGUGAAGAGGGAAACAACCCAGACCGCCAGCUAAGGUCCCAAAGUCAUGGUUAAGUGGGAAACGAUGUGGGAAGGCCCAGACAGCCAGGAUGUUGGCUUAGAAGCAGCCAUCAUUUAAAGAAAGCGUAAUAGCUCACUGGUCGAGUCGGCCUGCGCGGAAGAUGUAACGGGGCUAAACCAUGCACCGAAGCUGCGGCAGCGACACUGUGUGUUGUUGGGUAGGGGAGCGUUCUGUAAGCCUGUGAAGGUGUGUCGUGAGGCAUGCUGGAGGUAUCAGAAGUGCGAAUGCUGACAUAAGUAACGAUAAAGCGGGUGAAAAGCCCGCUCGCCGGAAGACCAAGGGUUCCUGUCCAACGUUAAUCGGGGCAGGGUGAGUCGACCCCUAAGGCGAGGCCGAAAGGCGUAGUCGAUGGGAAACGGGUUAAUAUUCCCGUACUUGGUGUUACUGCGAAGGGGGGACGGAGAAGGCUAUGUUGGCCGGGCGACGGUUGUCCCGGUUUAAGCGUGUAGGUGUGUGUUCCAGGUAAAUCCGGUUCACUUUAACACUGAGGCGUGACGACGAGGCACUACGGUGCUGAAGCAACAAAUGCCCUGCUUCCAGGAAAAGCCUCUAAGCAUCAGGUAACAUCAAAUCGUACCCCAAACCGACACAGGUGGUCAGGUAGAGAAUACCAAGGCGCUUGAGAGAACUCGGGUGAAGGAACUAGGCAAAAUGGUGCCGUAACUUCGGGAGAAGGCACGCUGACACGUAGGUGAAGUGAUUUACUCAUGGAGCUGAAGUCAGUCGAAGAUACCAGCUGGCUGCAACUGUUUAUUAAAAACACAGCACUGUGCAAACACGAAAGUGGACGUAUACGGUGUGACGCCUGCCCGGUGCCGGAAGGUUAAUUGAUGGGGUCAGCGCAAGCGAAGCUCCUGAUCGAAGCCCCGGUAAACGGCGGCCGUAACUAUAACGGUCCUAAGGUAGCGAAAUUCCUUGUCGGGUAAGUUCCGACCUGCACGAAUGGCGUAAUGAUGGCCAGGCUGUCUCCACCCGAGACUCAGUGAAAUUGAACUCGCUGUGAAGAUGCAGUGUACCCGCGGCAAGACGGAAAGACCCCGUGAACCUUUACUAUAGCUUGACACUGAACAUUGAGCCUUGAUGUGUAGGAUAGGUGGGAGGCUUUGAAGUGUGGACGCCAGUCUGCAUGGAGCCGACCUUGAAAUACCACCCUUUAAUGUUUGAUGUUCUAACGUGGACCCGUUACCCGGGUUGCGGACAGUGUCUGGUGGGUAGUUUGACUGGGGCGGUCUCCUCCUAAAGAGUAACGGAGGAGCACGAAGGUUGGCUAAUCCUGGUCGGACAUCAGGAGGUUAGUGCAAUGGCAUAAGCCAGCUUGACUGCGAGCGUGACGGCGCGAGCAGGUGCGAAAGCAGGUCAUAGUGAUCCGGUGGUUCUGAAUGGAAGGGCCAUCGCUCAACGGAUAAAAGGUACUCCGGGGAUAACAGGCUGAUACCGCCCAAGAGUUCAUAUCGACGGCGGUGUUUGGCACCUCGAUGUCGGCUCAUCACAUCCUGGGGCUGAAGUAGGUCCCAAGGGUAUGGCUGUUCGCCAUUUAAAGUGGUACGCGAGCUGGGUUUAGAACGUCGUGAGACAGUUCGGUCCCUAUCUGCCGUGGGCGCUGGAGAACUGAGGGGGGCUGCUCCUAGUACGAGAGGACCGGAGUGGACGCAUCACUGGUGUUCGGGUUGUCAUGCCAAUGGCACUGCCCGGUAGCUAAAUGCGGAAGAGAUAAGUGCUGAAAGCAUCUAAGCACGAAACUUGCCCCGAGAUGAGUUCUCCCUGAGACUUAAAGUCUCCUGAAGGAACGUUGAAGACGACGACGUUGAUAGGCCG